UCCUGGUUGAUCCUGCCGGACCUGACUGCUAUCGGAUUGGUACUAAGCCAUGCGAGUCGUUGUAGCAAUACAAGGCGGACUGCUCAGUAACACGUAGUUGACUUAACCUAUGGAUGGGAAUAACCUCGGGAAACUGAGAAUAAUACCCAAUGGGCCACAGUGCCUGGAAUGGCCUGUGGUUGAAAUGAUUUAUCGCCGUAGGAUAGGACUGCGGCCUAUCAGCUUGUUGGUGAGGUAAUGGCCCACCAAGGCUAUAACAGGUACGGGCUCUGAGAGGAGGGGCCCGGAGAUGGGUACUGAGACACGGACCCAGGCCCUAUGGGGCGCAGCAGGCGAGAACCCUUUGCAAUGUGCGAAAGCACGACAAGGUUAAUCCGAGUGUCUCCUGCUAAAGGAGUCUUUUGUCAGUUGUAGAAUCACUGGCGAAUAAGGGGUGGGCAAGUUCUGGUGUCAGCCGCCGCGGUAAAACCAGCACCUCGAGUGGUCAGGAGGUUUAUUGGGCCUAAAGCAUCCGUAGCCGGUUGCAUAAGUUUUCGGUUAAAUCUAUGCGCUUAACGUAUAGGCC
rnacentral:rRNA from 1 species